UACGGAGGGGGCAAGCGUUGUUCGGAGUUACUGGGCGUAAAGCGCGCGUAGGCGGUGCGGUAAGUCAGGGGUUAAAGGCUGCAGCUCAACUGCAGUAAGGCCUUUGAUACUAUCGCGCUAGAGUACCAGAGAGGAUGGCGGAAUUCCCGGUGUAGCGGUGAAAUGCGUAGAUAUCGGGAGGAACGCCGGUGGCGAAGGCGGCUUCCUGGCCCGUUACUGACGCUGAGGCACGAAAGCCAGGGGAGCGAACCGG
rnacentral:rRNA from 1 species